rnacentral:rRNA from 1 species
GACGUAGGGACCGAGCGUUGUCCGGAUUUAUUGGGCGUAAAGAGCUCGUAGGCGGUUCAGCAAGUCGGGUGUGAAAACUCUGGGCUCAACCCAGAGACGCCACCCGAUACUGCUGUGACUAGAGUCCGGUAGGGGAGUGGGGAAUUCCUGGUGUAGCAGUGAAAUGCGCAGAUAUCAGGAGGAACACCGGUGGCGAAGGCGCCACUCUGGGCCGGCACUGACGCUGAGGAGCGAAAGCGUGGGUAGCAAACAGG